AUUGAACGCUGGCGGCAGGCCUAACACAUGCAAGUCGAACGAGUGGCGGACGGGUGAGUAAUGUCUGGGAAACUGCCCGAUGGAGGGGGAUAACUACUGGAAACGGUAGCUAAUACCGCAUACCCUCGGAUGUGCCCAGAUGGGAUUAGCUAGUAGGUGGGGUAACGGCUCACCUAGGCGACGAUCCCUAGCUGGUCUGAGAGGAUGACCAGCCACACUGGAACUGAGACACGGUCCAGACUCAUACGGGAGGCAGCAGUGGGGAAUAUUGCACAAUGGGCGCAAGCCUGAUGCAGCCAUGCCGCGUGUAUGAAGAAGGCCUUCGGGGUGUAAAGUACUUUCAGCGGGGAGGCGUUACCCGCAGAAGAAGCACCGGCUAACUCCGUGCCAGCAGCCGCGGUAAUUC
rnacentral:rRNA from 1 species